rnacentral:lncRNA from 14 species
CACAGACCCAGUCACAGUGUGACCCAGAAGAGGCCUACCUGGAAAGUUCAUCCACAGAGCACGUAAUUCUGAUUGGUGCAACAGUCUGGAAGAGUGAAAGACGUCAUCUCCCAAGGGCAAGUGCUGUGCUAGUGGACACUGAGGAGCUGCACGGAUCAGACCCCUCCCCAUCCUUCUCCAGCCU